UAUUAACUCUGUCGGCGUUCCUAAUACAUGCAAGUCGAUCGGACAGACGAGUAGCUUGCUCCUUUGACGUUAGCGGCGGACGGGUGAUUAACACGUAGGUAACCUACCUAUAAGACUUUUAUAACUUCGUGAAACCGGAGCUAAUACCGGAUAAUAUUUCGAACCGCAUGGUUCGAUAGUGAAAGAUGGCUUUGCUAUCACUUAUAGAUGGACCUGCGCCGUAUUAGCUAGUUGGUAAGGUAACGGCUUACCAAGGCAACGAUACGUAGCCGACCUGAGAGGGUGAUCGGCCACACUGGAACUGAGACACGGUCCAGACUCCUACGGGAGGCAGCAGUAGGGAAUCUUCCGCAAUGGGCGAAAGCCUGACGGAGCAACGCAGCGUGAGUGAUGAAGGUCUUCGGAUCGUAAAACUCUGUUAUUAGGGAAGAACAAACGUGUAAGUAACUGUGCACGUCUUGACGGUACCUAAUCAGAAAGCCAAGGAUAAAUACGUG
rnacentral:rRNA from 1 species